AAUAGAAGAAUGAUAAAUCAGAUUUUUUCUCUUGAUUUUUAAAUUUUUCCUUUUGAAAAAAUUUAAAUUCAGUUAAAAAUGUUAAAAAUCAGGAGGAAAAUAUAAUUUGUCAUUCUCUUAUU
rnacentral:pre_miRNA from 1 species